rnacentral:lncRNA from 10 species
ACCAUGCCUGGCUAAUUUUUGUAUUGUUGGUAGAGACAGGGUUUCACCAUGUUGGCCAGGCUGGUCUCGAACUCCUGACCUCAGGUGAUCCACCUCGGCCUCCCAAAGUGCUGGGAUUACAGGCCUGAGCCACUGCGUUGUGCCCAGGAUUUUAUUCUUAAGUGAGGAGAAGGCUUUGGGGGGUAUUUGAGGUAGCAACAUCAUACGUUUUAUAUCUUCAGGGGAUCCCUCUGGCUCCUGUGGGGAAUAGACUGAAGGGGGCUGAGGGUAGAACCUGGGAGACUGAGGAGGGGAGUGGAGGGGACUGCAUCUUGGUAGUAGAGGAGGUGAGGAGUGCUGAGAGCUGGAUUCCAUGGGGCUGUGUGCUCCACUGGGGGAAGGGCCACUCAGUCCUCUAGCUACUUGAAGCCCUUCCAGGGAGGCUGGAGUCUGUCCCUUCUGUAUGCAUACACCCUCAAGAGAAAGAGGGCGAGGGGGUUCUCUGUCCAACCUUACAGAACAUGAUCAUUGGCACAGACCUAGCCCUUCCAUGCCCUCCUCCUGGCUCCACUGCCCAUCCUGUUGGAGCCAGAAGCUGCCUGGCUCCACCUGUUCUCCACCAAACCCACACAGGUUUUAAGAUGCCCUUGCCUCCCAACUCCUCAAACCUGCUGGACCUGGAGCAACGUUGGGGGGUCCCCCAGCUAUAGGCUCACCCCAGUCUUCCCAGGCAAGAAUGGCAGCAGCUGAGCAGCCUUGGCACUCCUACCCAGCUUAGGGCUGGGCCCUCUUCCACUUUCUUUUUUUUUUUUUGAGAUAAAGUCUCCCUCUGUUGCCUAGGCUGGAGUGCAGUGGUGAGAUUACAGCUCACUGCAGCCUCAACCUCCUGGGCUGAAGCGAUCCUCCCACCUCAGCCUCCUGGGUAGGUCUACAGGCAUGUGCCAUCAGACACGGCUCAUUUUUUUUUUUUUAUUUUUCGUAGAGACGAAGUCUCACCGUGUUGUUCAGGCUGGUCGGGAACUCCUGGGCUCAAACCAUCUUCCCACCUUGGCCUCCCAAAGUGCUGGGAUUACAGGUGUGAACCACUGCACCCAGCCCCCUCCUUCCCGUUUUUUUUUUUUUUUUUUUUUUGAGACAGAGGCACACUCCGCCCCCAGGGUGAAGAAGUUGGCUUGCGUUUGGGGACUGUGUUAAGUUAGUUGAAGUGCUGACCUUUGAACUCGGGGGACAGUGUGAUGAGAGGCUUGGGAAGGGAGGCUGCUGUAAAUUGAGAACACGUUUGUCUCACAUUUCAGAUUCGCGGUUGGACACCAAUUCUUUUUUUUUUUUUUU